rnacentral:rRNA from 1 species
CGGGAAAAGCUCAAAUUUAAAAUCUGGUAGUCUUUGGCUGCCCGAGUUGUAGUCUGGAGAAGUGUCUUCCGCGCUGGACCGUGUACAAGUCUCUUGGAACAGAGCGUCAUAGAGGGUGAGAAUCCCGUCCAUGACACGGACUACCAGUGCUUUGUGAUGCGCUCUCAAA